CAUUCAUUCAUUUGGCAAAUAUUCAUUGAUGUUGACUCUGUACAAGGCACUGUUGUAAGUAUUGGGAAUACAGCUGCAAACAAAAACAAACCCCUGCUUUUACAGUUUCUAUUCCUGAGCGAGGCUGGGAGAGACAGACACAAACAAAUAGAUAUUAGUUGGUUAUGAUUGCUUAGGAGAAAAAUUAAAAUGGGUAAUGGGACACCAAGUGACCAAGUGAUAUUUAAAUAAGGAUCUCAGCAGGUCUCUCAAGAAGGUGACAUUUGAACAGAGAACUAGGUGGGCAGCUGGGGGAAGAUACCUUAGGCAGAGGGAAUCGUAAGUGCACAGACCCUGAGGUGAGGGGAGUGGGCCUGUGGAGAGAGUAGCAAGGAGCCCACUAGGGCUGGAGUAGAAUGAAUGGAGGGGAGGGUGGUAGGAGAUGAGUCGAAUCAGGUGGCGCAGGACCUCGUAGGCUGUGGCUGUGACUUCUGAUUUUAUUCCAAGUGAGAUGGGGUAAGAAAAACAGCCAGGGUGCCUCUGCUUUGGGUACCCUGGACGGCUCUAGCCCCUCUCUCUUCCUUACUGCUCCCCAGGACUGGGGAGAGGUUAAGAGCUCAAUUUGGGAAUUAGACCUAAGUUUGCUCAUCCAUCGUCAUCCACUCAUCCAUCCCAUCAUGCAUCCAUUUCUUUGAUGAUGUUUCCUGCAUACUCUGUGCUUAGUGCGGCCACUUACUAGACGGCUUACCUUAGGCAAGUGGUUCGUUUUCCUUUUCUGUGAAGUGCAUCCAGCAGUCAUUCUUCCUUACUUCAGAGGAGCAGGACCCAGUGUUUAACUUGCUUAGCACAGCAUGGGGGCACAGUGAGCAAGUGCUUCAUCCAUGCCUGCGAAUGUGACUCGUAUAUACAAGCUCCCUGACCCCAACCAGCUCUGACCCACUCAGGGCAGUGUGACCUGCACCCACCCUACUCCCAGGACUCCUCCCAGAGAGGGCAUCACUGCCCUGUGGGCUUAGAGCCUCCUUGUGCUCCUCUCCCUACCUCCCAAACUGUCCCACCCCUGCUUCCUACUCCCUGCUCCCUGACCUCUGCCCUCUGCCUUUACCCUCUGCCCUCUGCCUCUGGCCCCAAGCAUGGGGUCAAAGCUCAUCAGAAUCUUCUCUCUGGGCCUCACAUUCUAAUUCACCCUCUUUAUUUGUCAGCCUGCCUCUGUCCAUCUCAACCUGGGGGCCGCUCACUCACCAUCCUCUCAGAAAAGGCCGGGUGUACAUUUUGUGCUAUCAUGUGUUGGGCCCCAACUGGGGGCAUGAAGACCCAGAGACAGAACCUUAACUUCUGAGGAGCAAAGCCUGGAAAAAGCCCAGGCUUUGAAGCCCCAGAGACCUCUGGAGUCAGACAUAUUGAGCAAACCCUGUCCCCGGCACAUCCUUGCAAGUCCUGUCAUGUCUCUGGGCCUCAGUUUCUUGAUCUGUAAAAGCGAAUGAUAACACCUGCAGAGUUGCUGGUGGAUAGAGAUUGUACAUGUAAAGCUCCUGCAUGGAGAACGUGCCUCUCAAGUGGGUGUUGAGGAGCUGGGGUGUAUGUACCCACACUAAGGCAGAGGCUCUGGCCCCGGCCUGCGAGUGUGAUCCCGGAAAUCAUUUGUGUGUGUAUGUGUGUCUGGGGUGAGGAUCCAUAGCUUUAGUCAGAUUCUCCAAGAGGUCUUGAUCCAAAAAGCUGGGGAUGUGAGGAUGGCAUGGCCAAAAUCUUAAACAGAGUCAAGAAGUCAAGUCUAAGGCCAGGCAUAGUGGCUCACGGCUGUAAUCCCAGCACCUUGGGAAGCUGAGGUGGGUGGAUCAUUUGAGGUCAGGAGUUCGAGACCAGCCUGGCCAACAUGGUGAAACUUCCAUCUCUACUAAAAAUACAAAAACAGCUGAGUGUGGUGGCAGGUGCCUGUAAUCCCAGCUACUUGGGAGGCUGAGGCAGGAGAAUUGCUUGAACCUAGGAGGUGGAGGUUGCAGUGAGCUGAGAUUGCGUCACUGCACUAUAGCCUGGGUGACAGAGCAGGACUCUGUCUCAAAAAAAAAAAAAAAAAAAAAAAAAA
ensembl:lncRNA